CUGGGAAUUUUGCGCAAUGGGGGAAACCCUGACGCAGCAACGCCGCGUGGGUGAUGAAGGCCUUCGGGUUGUAAAGCCCUUUUAUUCGGGACGAAUACAAUUGACGGUACCGAAAGAAAAAGCACCGGCUAACUCUGUGCCAGCAGCCGCGGUAAUACAGAGGGUGCAAGCGUUAUUCGGAAUCACUGGGCAUAAAGGGCGCGUAGGCGGCUUAAUAAGUCUGUUGUGAAAUCCCUCGACUUAAUCGAGGAAGUGCAGUGGAUACUAUUAGGCUAGAGUGCAGGAGAGGAGAACGGAAUUCCUGGUGUAGAGGUGAAAUUCGUAGAUAUCAGGAGGAACAACGGUGGCGAAGGCGGUUCUCUGGACUGUAACUGACGCUGAGUGCGCGAAAGCGUGGGGA
rnacentral:rRNA from 1 species